rnacentral:rRNA from 1 species
GGACCCGCACAAGCGGUGGAUGAUGUGGAUUAAUUCGAUGCAACGCGAAAAACCUUACCUACCCUUGACAUGGCAGGAAUCCCGGAGAGAUUUGGGAGUGCUCGAAAGAGAACCUGCACACAGGUGCUGCAUGGCUGUCGUCAGCUCGUGUCGUGAGAUGUUGGGUUAAGUCCCGCAACGAGCGCAACCCUUGUCAUUAGUUGCUACGCAAGAGCACUCUAAUGAGACUGCCGGUGACAAACCGGAGGAAGGUGGGGAUGACGUCAAGUCCUCAUGGCCCUUAUGGGUAGGGCUUCACACGUCAUACAAUGGUACAUACAGAGGGCCGCCAACCCGCGAGGGGGAGCUAAUCCCAGAAAGUGUAUCGUAGUCCGGAUUGUAGUCUGCAACUCGACUACAUGAAGUUGGAAUCGCUAGUAAUCGCGGAUCAGCAUGUCGCGGUGAAUACGUUCCCGGGUCUU